UCCCAGUACAGUGCAGAUGAGAAAAGGAUGCAGGAAAUUCUCUUGUUUACACAUGUGUCUGUUACACUGAGAAGCAAGAGGAGCCCAGCAAACUCAGAAGCUGUUAAAAGUGGAACGAUCAGAAGGCUUCACUGAUCAGAAAACCCCCCAUUUUCAUCCAAUUCUGUACAGAGUUGGCAUCAUCUAUCCAUGCUGAAAAGGGCAGGCAAAUUUCAGCCUAUCAUAAAAUGAUUAUAAGCCUAAGAGA
rnacentral:lncRNA from 1 species